ACAUUACAAGACGAAAAGGCGACGGUUGAGCGAUCGAGAAAAGAAAGGCGAUCCUUGCCCUUGUCCCCCUCUCUCCUGAGAGAAAGAUCUGCUUUGGCUCCUUUCCACCUCCGUCACUCUAUCUGCUCCCAAAUCUUCAUUGCUCUUUCAAAGAACCGAGAAGGUGGAACGAUUUAGGCCCGAGGUGAAGGAUGGUUACGUUUUAUCGUUCGGAAGUCCGAUCGAUUUAGCUUUGUUUUUCUUUUCUUUUUCUGUUUCAGUAUAAUCUAACCGAGGGCAUAGAGUUCGGUUGUUGUUCAGGUCUUCUUGUCAUCUGACUCUUUGAAUUAGGGUUUAUAUUUCUCUCUCUCUCUCUCUCUCUCUCUCUCUCUCUCUGAUUCAUUUGGGGGUUUGGUCAAUUUUUAAGAGUACGCGUUAUUUUCUUCCGAGGCCGACAGUUUAUGGGGGUUGUGAAUUUUGAUCCGAUCGGAUAUCCAUCUCUUCUUUGGGAUUCCAAUGAGUAAUAGGAGCAAGAUCCCGGAUUUCAGAUUAAAGAAAAUGGAGAUUUGUAUCAACAUGGGGAGGUUUAUAAAAGCAACAUUGUUGGUGAAAGGAUUAUGUGUCUGUUAUGUGUCUGAUCUCCUUGCUUGUGGCAUUGAACUAUCUUCACCAUAUCGGACAAAGUGGCCCUUUUGGGAGAAAGGAUGUUGCAAUCAACCUUUUUACCAGGAUGUUUUUUGACAUCCAGACAUUUUACAAUGUGGUGGUUGAGGAGCUACCACCAAUGUUGUAAACUUGUCGAAGAUUCUCUUGGGUUAUUCUGGCGUAUAAAGAGACUCGUCAAUUGCCAGUGUAAAUUCCAUCUGCCCGGAUGGUUGCCCAAACCCAUAUAUCACUCUUCCUUCUUUGCGUAGUUGCAGCAGCAAGGUCGUCUUUCUCCCUUUUUGUCAAGCUUUUCUGGUUCUACAUGUUUUCUUUGAUUUUGUUUUUUUUUCUUGGUUUAAUUGUUGGAGGAUUCAUGCAUUAUAGCAAUUACAUUUUUCGUUGGUUGUCCACUUAUUAUUGAGAUUUGUGCUAAAUCAAAUGCAUAUAUGCUAUGCAUUGACCGCAUUAAUCAUGUCCUGAAUGUUUUGGUCCAGCAUGAUGUGCACAUUAAAUUGCUGAUUUUUUUUUGGUUGACUUGGAACUUUUGCGUCACAAGGUCCGUUUGGGCACACGCUCAUGAAGUCUCUGAUGCUUCGAACCAAUUGUUCUUUAAUUGUAUAACUAUACACACACACACACACACACACACACACACACACACACACACACACACACACAUAUAUAUAUAUAUAUAUAUAUAUAUAUUCCAAUCUGUUACUCUUAAGAAGAUUUUUUUUGGCAAUAGAGACACAUUUUCUAACUUAAGUUGAAUAUACUUUUUUUUUUCCUAUUUUCUGAGUUGUCUGAGCUUGGAAUGAGACUCCACUUUGGUUAAUGUGGUUGGAUCCCAACCAUUGAUACUGUACCAAUACUGAUUUGUCCUAUUAUUUUCACCAUUGUUGCCAUCGUCACGAUCAUUAUAGUGGAUGCCAGUGAUAAGCACUGGAACUAUUAUCCACAUUUUACCCCUUUUUUUUUCUUUACGAAUAUCUUCCUACCUAACGGCUAGCACGCUCGUCUUUUAUCCAUCUGUCUCUGCUGCUGUUAACAUAUUGACCCCAUGCCUCAGAAAUGUCGGUGUUGAUUCACUCGGUCUGACUGGUGAACACCCUCACCCAACCGCCAAACCCCAGUGAGUGGUCCUCAAGAUUCGUGACUCGCACAUGACUACAGAUAGUAGGAGAAGCCUGUCGACCCACCCCCUUCCCUCUACUUACAGCUUCAUGAGUUGGCUUCCUCGAUCGUUCUUUUGGUAAGGGAGACGAGAGCAAGAAACCUCGAAGCCAUCAUUCCACCCCGACCUCCCCUCUCAUCUCCACCUCCUCUGCCCGCUUCCUCACUGUCGAUUCGCCACCGUCGCUCUCAACGGCGAUGGUGUUACGUGUAGUGCGAUCGCCACCGUGGCCCUAAGCCGCUAUCUUCUUCCGCUGCAGUCAGACGAUCCUAACAACUAUUGAGAGACCACGUAUCUAGGGUCCAAAUCAUGUUCGCCUGGGGCGAUUGCCGGUCCGCCACCGUAGUUCUUGGUUUUCGGUUGAUGCCCAUGACUCAUUAAUGUGAGAUGUUUCUCUUAUGUAAUCUUCGGCGCUUUCAAUCCAUUGUGCCUAUUCUUUUCGGUUUUGUUUUUUAUCUUGGAUCUUAAAACGAUAUAGUUCUUGAUCUGUUUUAUCUAUUAUUUUCUCGAAAUUGGAUCUUGAACUAAUGGAGUUUUUCAUCUGUUUGCCUCUUUGUUUCUCAAUUUCUAUUUGAUUUUGCCUCUUAUUUUCAGUUUUGUUAUUGAUCUUGGAUCUUUAUACGAUAUAGUUCACGAUCCGCUUUGUCUAUUAUUUUCUUGAUUAUGAAUCUCGAACUGAUGGAUUCUGUGAUCUGUUUGCCGCUUCGUUUCUCUAUUUCUAUUUGAUUUUGCCUCUUCUUUUCAGCUUUGUUCUUGAUCUUAGAUCUUAAGACGAUAUAGUUCUUUAUCUGCUUUGUCUAUUAUUUUCUUGAUUUUUGAGAGUUUUUUAUCCGUUUACUUAUUUGUUUCUUGGUUACCAUUUGAUUUUGCCUCUUUUUAUUAGCUUUGCUUUUGAUAUUGGAACUUAAAAUGACUUGAUCUGCUUUGUCCUUUUUUUCUCUCUAGAUCUUGAACGAAUAGGGUUUGUUUCUUUGAUAUUUCUGUAUCUCUGUGUAGUUUGUGAUUUUGGAAUUUUGAACUAUGAGUUUCUUUAUCUGUUUGCCUCUUUGAUCUGUUUCCGUUUUAUACAGCUUUCCAUCUUCCACUUGAAUAACUAAUCGUUCUGUGUAUAGAGAAAGGGAGUGUGAAAGAGACAGGGAGAGAGCGUAGCAAGCGAGGUAGAGGUGGGACGAAGAAUUAGGAAGUAAGACGAAAAGUUGUGUGAACCAGGUGGGGUAAAGUAACUUAAUUAGUGAUUUGAAGCUUUGAUAUAGCCAGAAGAUAUCACGUGAUCCGCAUCAGAAUGAUGGUUUUUCAAUCUCACGUGGCUGAGGAGGUCUAUGAGGAGCCAAAUGGACUGCGAAGAAGGAUCUGCUCCUCCCCUCUCUUAACCAGAUGGUAAGGCGACAUGUUUCUCUACUCAACCUUCGUUCUUCUCUUUCAAUCCUUCUUGUAUUCUUUUCUAGAAUCGCCGAUGAUGUUGAGAUCCGUCAUGUUUCAAUGGGACUUGUAUAGCCGAUCGAAAUUCUUGGAAGAGCCAAACGAAGUGCGAAGAAGUAUCUCCGCUACUUUCCUCUUCAACAAUAUUAUUAGACUACGUGAUUCUCUACUGAUCCUUUGUUGUCACCUGUCAAUCUUUCUUGAAUGCUUCUUCAGAAUUGCCGAAGAUGUCGAGAUCUGUUCUGUUU